AUAAAUUGAGAGUUUGAUCCUGGCUCAGGACGAACGCUGGCGGCGUGCCUAAUACAUGCAAGUCGAACGAGAAUUUCUUACACCGAGUGCUUGCACUCACCGUAAGAAAUUCGAGUGGCGGACGGGUGAGUAACACGUGGGUAACCUGCCCAAAAGAAGGGGAUAACAUUUGGAAACAAAUGCUAAUACCGUAUAACCAUGAUGACCGCAUGGUCAUUAUGUAAAAGGUGGUUUUGCUAUCGCUUUUGGAUGGACCCGCGGCGUAUUAACUAGUUGGUAGGGUAACGGCCUACCAAGGUGAUGAUACGUAGCCGAGUUGAGAGACUGAUCGGCCACAAUGGGACUGA
rnacentral:rRNA from 2 species